UCACCCCCAAAAUACUGUUACUUAACGAACCAUCGCAUAGGAACAGCGAGGGUUAAACUGCAAAGCAGGAAACUGGAGAAAUAAGAAGUCCCAUUAACAGGAGGCGGCGACCAGAAAUCGAGACAAAGCGAAGAAUCAGAGACCGAGACGCCUCAGCCCUGGUCUCAGGAAUCCAGAACCUCUCCCUACAGAGGUCUAUACAUUAUACGGAACAGAACCAUCUCCUGCCUCAUGUGGGUUCAUCUCUAAGAAUCCAGUGAGAUGAUGAGGAUCCUACUCCUGCUUCUUUCUGCACUGACCCUUCUUCCCAGCGGCAGUGCGGUACUAGUGGAGCAGGAUAAGAAGCUUGUGAUGGUGAGGACCGGGGACACCAUGAAACUGAGCUGUACACAAGAUCAGAGCAACUACUUCAACAUGUACUGGUAUCAGCAGAAACUGGGGCAAGGACUGGAGCUCAUGGUCCUUUCCACAGAUGUAAACUCUGAAGACAUGGAGAAGGACUAUAAGGAGAGGUGGUCUUUACAGAGACCCUCCGUCUAUAACUCCACUCUGACCCUAACCGCCUCAGCCGCAGAGGACAAUGCUGUGUACUUCUGUGCUGCCAGUAUACACAGCCUGAGAGAGAGGAGCCCAGCAUGGAAGGCAGAAGUUUAUGAGUUCUGUUUGAGUUGUCGAUGUGAAUAGUUGGAGUAUUACAGAGAUGAG